AUUGAACGCUGGCGGCAGGCCUAACACAUGCAAGUCGAGCGGAUGAAGGGAGCUUGCUCCUGGAUUCAGCGGCGGACGGGUGAGUAAUGCCUAGGAAUCUGCCUGGUAGUGGGGGAUAACGUCCGGAAACGGGCGCUAAUACCGCAUACGUCCUGAGGGAGAAAGUGGGGGAUCUUCGGACCUCACGCUAUCAGAUGAGCCUAGGUCGGAUUAGCUAGUUGGUGGGGUAAAGGCCUACCAAGGCGACGAUCCGUAACUGGUCUGAGAGGAUGAUCAGUCACACUGGAACUGAGACACGGUCCAGACUCCUACGGGAGGCAGCAGUGGGGAAUAUUGGACAAAGGGCGAAAGCCUGAUCCAGCCACGCCGCGUGUGUGAAGAAGGUCUUCGGAUUGUAAAGCACUUUAAGUUGGGAGGAAGGGCAGUAAGUUAAUACCUUGCUGUUUUGACGUUACCAACAGAAUAAGCACCGGCUAACUUCGUG
rnacentral:rRNA from 1 species